rnacentral:rRNA from 1 species
CCCUUAGAUGUCCGGGGCUGCACGCGCGCUACACUGAAGGAAUCAGCGUGCUAAAACCAUUGUCGAAAGGCAUUGGUAAACCCAUUAAAAUCCUACGUGAUUGGGAUCGGGAAUUGCAAUUAUUUCCCUUGAACGAGGUAUUCCCAGUAAGUGUGGGUCAUAAGCUCGCGUUGAUUACGUCCCUGCCCUUUGUACACACCGCCCGUCGCUGCCCGGGACUGAGCCGUUUCGAGAAAAGCGGGGACUGCUGCUGUCGGGGCUUUCGGGCCUUGGCUUCGGUGGAAACCGCUUUAAUCGCAGUGGCUUGAACCGGGCAAAAGUCGUAACA